rnacentral:lncRNA from 1 species
AACCACAUGGUGGCUCAUAACCAUCUGUAAUGGGAUCUGAUGCCCUCUUCUGGUGUGUCUGCAAACAGAUACUCAUGUAUAUUAAAUAAAUAAUAAAUAAAUUGAAAGAAAGAAAGAAAGAAAGAAAGAAAGAAAGAAAGAAAGAAAGAAAGAAAGAAAGAGGACGAAAGAAAGAAAAUGACUGACAGUCAGGUCUUAUGGAAGCCUUUUCUCAGUUGAGGGUCCCCUCCUUUCAGAUAACUCUAACUUAUAUCAAGUUGACAACAUAAAACUAGCCAGCACACAUCCCCAUCUCAAAGAUGUAAAUCCUUCCGCUGGGUCCCAUUUCUUGAAGUUUGUCCUAUGUCCCAACAGUGCUCCAGGCUAGGACCUCAUGGGGACAUUUAUGCAAACUGGUUCACCCACCAUGAACAAGUCACCAGGCUGUACCUAAGGGCCUUGCCACAUUAGGAAGGCUUCUGUGUCAUGUGUAGGCACAUUGUGUUCCCCCUAUGACCAGGGCUCUGGAUAGUGUAACUAAGAAAUACUGUGAUUCCCAUGUACCUGUGAGUACAAGAGUUCCAGAGACUGGAAGGAGAAUAGAAAGUAAAGGGAGGGCCUUAGACUGGUUCAGAAUUGCUGACCAUAGAGAUUGGCCAGGAGGAACAGAAGCCUGGAGGUUGAAAAGUUUCCAAGACAAAUCCUAGCUCAGGGAAAGCCAGCAUCUGCUCAGUGGCUUCACAGACCCAGAAGAAUGAGGCUGUUAUUUCUGUCAAGUCCCACAGGUGUUCUUUUUAAGGUGACCUCGCUACACUUAGAAAAGUAUAAUAUCUUUUUGGUUUAUGAUGAAAACAGGAACAUUCCGCUUACAUGGUCGCUGUCCAAUAUCAAGACACGGUUUGUAUAAAGCAUGUAGAAUCAGAAAUGUGACUUACAUUUAUAGAUUCUCAGAUUUAAAUUACUCAGAGGAACUCUGAGAGAUGGCUGGGCCUUUAGAACACUUGUUGCUCUUCCAGAUGACCUGAGUUCAAUUCCCAGCACCCACAUGGCUCCUCACAAUCUGUAACUCCAUUUCCAAGAGUCUUAGUCAGGGUUUCUAUUCCUGCACAAAACAUCAUGACUAAGAAGAAGUUGGGGAGGAAAGGGUUUACUUAUUCAGCUUGCAUUUCCACAUUGCUGUUCAUCACCAAAGGAAGUCAGGACAGGAACUCACACAGGGUAGGAACCUGGAGGCAGCAGCUGAUGCAGAGGCCAUGAAGGGGUGUUAUUUACUGGCUUGCUUCCCCUUGCUGUCUCAGCUUGCUUUCUUAUAGAACCUAAGACUACCAGCCCAGGGAUGACACCACCCACAAUGGGCCCUCCUUCCCUUGAUUGCUAAUUGAGAAAAUGCCUUACAGCUGGAUCUCAUGGAGGCAUUUUCUCAAGGGAGGCUCUCUGUGAUAACUCCAGCCUGUGUCAAAUUGUCACACAGAAACAGCCAGUAAACCAAGGGACCCUCUUCUGGCUUUCUUGGGCACCAGCACACAUGUGGUGCACAGACAUACCUGCAGGCCAAACACAUAAAAUUUCUCACAAAGCUCUGACAAUCACGUGCUAGGUUGUGUUUGUAAAGAAGACACACCAUUCUUUCUGUUUAGUUCAGAGAAUGACAAUUGCCCUGCAAAUCCUUUGCCACAACCUGUAAGAAGGAACUCUCUCUGCAGGGUGGUGCGUAUGACACUCACAUGAAAGCCAGGCUGACAGGUCUCAGUGGUCAGGUUGCUGGAAUGCACUGGAAUUCUAAGGAAGCCAAUGGGUGCUCUGUCAGCUGUGUAGAACACUUGGGAGGCAGAGACAGGCAGAUCUCUAUGAGUUCAAGGACAGCCUGGUCUACAGAGUGAGUUCCAGGACAGCCAGAGCUACAGAGUAAGACCCUGUCAAAC